AGUAAGGUCAGCUAAAAAAGCUUUCGGGCCCAUACCCCGAAAAUGAUAGUUAAAACCAAUCCCUUGCUA
rnacentral:tRNA from 1 species